rnacentral:lncRNA from 1 species
AUGACUGGCAUCCACAAAGACAAAGAUGGAAAAUAUGAGCCAUCCAUUUGGCAACAAUGUUGGCAUCUUCCUCAUUUCGUGCUGCCAAGCUCUGACCAGAAAGAUCUUGGCCUGUUUACUGCCCGAUGCAGUCAGUCCAGACUCAGGGUGGCUCAGGUCAUGGUGGUAGAGCCAGCUAUAAUGAGAUUUAGACAUGCAAGAAAAAGACAGAGAAAGGGAUCCAGACUCCGUAUCAGAAACAAGCUAAAGGGAACACUAGAAAACCUUCAUGAAAUCAAAGAGCUAAAUUCCAGGAAACUCCCUCAGAUGGGGGUUAACGGCAGCAGUAUUUUCUGGAGGCCCUGUCUUAGUCAGGUAAGUGCAGUUGAGAUAAGACUUCUUUCCAUAUCUUCUUUAGCUCGAAUGUUCUCACUUUAAGAAUCUUUAUACCAACUCCGGGGAUCUGAAUGAAUCUCCACAUGACUCAAGACAUGUAUCAUCCCAAGAACUUUUAAAAAGGAAAACUUCCUGGUUCCCUUCUAGGGCAAAGUUUGAGAUAGACAAUAUUUCUAUGACACGCUUGAGAGCUUCAGGAAGGCUCAGUGAAGUUCCUGGUGACAGAGACGUCACUGCAUAAUACAAAUGCACUGUGGGGUUACGGGUAAGGUCUCUGACCAGGAUGACAUCAUCCUGGGCCUCCUUCCAGCACUGUAAGCUGUGACUUCUGUGCCCAGAGUCAGAACUGCUGUUUAACUUCGUUAGGUUCUCAAGAUACAAAGCCUGCUACUUACCUUCAGAAAAUCAUUGCACAAUAUUUCAAGAGUGAAGUCAUAUCAGGUUUCUUUUUUCUGUUUACUUUUGCCUUUCACUCAUCACAAACAGGAUAAAAGGUAGACCACUUAUAUUUUUGGGUCACAAAUUGAUCUUAUAACUGCAAACACUGACUUCCAGGGAAAUUCUGUUACCAGUGGAAAUAUCUAGAUGAAAAGGUGGAAUUCAAAGUGCUAAUUUCAAGAGGUAGUAUCUUUUAUAAGUAAUAUGAAUUAGUGCUGUUUGUCUGUAAGGAAAACAUGCUUCUUGUUCAGUAAAGUCAUCUUCACAACUUCAGGAACGCUGCCAUUAUUAAGAUAGUUAAGAGUACCUUCUAGAAAAAUUGCGGACCCAGGUUCAUCAUUUCAAACAGCUGAUACACAAUACAAAAUGUAGAAACUAAAGAUAACUUGGCUGGGUGCAGUGGCUCACAUCUGCAAUCCCAGCUAC